CGCGCCGCCGCCGCCUCCUUCUCCCUCUCUUUUCUUCACCUCUCUGUGAGCAAAGGAAACACGAGAAACCCCACAGCAACCACCCACCUCACCAUGGCGCCGUCGCUACACACCAUCCCCCGCCGUUCUGAGGGCACCGGCGGAUGCGCCUCGUCUUCCUCUACCUCCUGGUGCGCGGACUCGUCCCGAGAGGCCCCGAGUUGAGCGCAAGGUCGCCGAUUCUUCUCGCCGGACUUCAUGUUUCUUCUCCGAUUCCGGCCGCCCUCGUCCUCCUCCGGCCAAACCGAGCACACCUCUAGCUUCCCCAUGUUCAGGCGCACCCUCGACGCCCUCGCUCUCGUCCUCUUUAGCUCGCAGCCGUCGAGUUCUUCUCCAACCAGGGCCGUCCGCCAUGGCCGAGCUUCACCUCUACCUGCUUCUAGUUGUCGGGCAGCCCACAACCAUCACCAUCCGAACCAGCAGCCCAGUGAUCUCGCGGAGAGAGAUGCUUUAUUUCACGAGGAGCCCUUCCAGUACCAACAUCAUCAAGCAGCCUAGCUGAUCAGCAGAUGGGCCUCAGCCAAGAUCUGUUUGACGCAGCUCCUCGCCCGCGCGGCCCGUAGCUCCCCAUCACCGCUUGCACGCCGAACAGGCCGGCCCGCGCGCGCGAAACUUCCUUUUGCC